UACGAAGGGGGCUAGCGUUGCUCGGAAUCACUGGGCGUAAAGGGUGCGUAGGCGGGCCUUUUAAGUCAGGGGUGAAAUCCUGGAGCUCAACUCCAGAACUGCCUUUGAUACUGAAGAUCUUGAGUUCGGGAGAGGUGAGUGGAACUGCGAGUGUAGAGGUGAAAUUCGUAGAUAUUCGCAAGAACACCAGUGGCGAAGGCGGCUCACUGGCCCGAUACUGACGCUGAGGCACGAAAGCGUGGGGAGCAAACAGG
rnacentral:rRNA from 1 species